rnacentral:rRNA from 1 species
GACGAACGCUGGCGGCGUGCUUAACACAUGCAAGUCGAACGGAGCGAAUGAAAGCUUGCUUUUAUAAGCUUAGUGGCAAACGGGUGAGUAACACGUAGGCAACCUGCCGACAGGAUGGGGACAACAUUCCGAAAGGAAUGCUAAUACCGAAUGAAGCGGAGGGGAGACAUCUCCCUUCCGUGAAAGAUGGCCUCUAUUUAUAAGCUAUCACCUGUCGAUGGGCCUGCGUCUGAUUAGCUGGUAGGUGAGGUAACGGCUCACCUAGGCGACGAUCAGUAGCCGGUCUGAGAGGAUGAACGGCCACAUUGGGACUGAGACACGGCCCAGACUCCUACGGGAGGCAGCAGUGGGGAAUCUUCCGCAAUGGGCGCAAGCCCUGACGGAGCAAACGCCGCGUGAGUGAAGAAGGUCUUUCGGAUUCG